UGGUUGGGGAAGGUUUGGC
rnacentral:misc_RNA from 1 species